UAUUGGACAAUGGGCGCAAGCCUGAUGCAGCCAUGCCGCGUGAGUGAUGAAGGCCUUAGCGUUGUAAAGCUCUUUUAGCGGAGACGAUAAUGACGGUAUCCGCAGAAAAAGCCCCGGCCAACUUCGUGCCAGCAGCCGCGGUAAUACGAAGGGGGCUAGCGUUGCUCGGAAUCACUGGGCGUAAAGCGCACGUAGGUGGGUCGUUAAGUCGGGGGUGAAAUCCCGGAGCUCAACUCCGGAACUGCCUUCGAUACUGGCGACCUUCGAGUCCGGGAGAGGUGAGUGGAACUGCGAGUGUAGAGGUGAAAUUCGUAGAUAUUCGCAAGAACACCAGUGGCGAAGGCGGCUCACGGCCCGGUACGACACUGAGGUGCGAAG
rnacentral:rRNA from 1 species